rnacentral:precursor_RNA from 1 species
AGUCCCGGCGGGGCGAAGCCCGCGGCUGCUGGACCCACCCGGCCGGGAAUAGUGCUCCUGGUUGUUUCCGGCUCGCGUGGGUGUGUCGGCGGCGGGGCCUGACACCCCCGGCCUCC